rnacentral:lncRNA from 1 species
CAGCUUCGUGAGGCGGUUCGGGAAGACGUACGCCGACGAGGAGGAGCGCGCCCUCCGGUUCAAGGUGUUCAAGGCGAACCUGCACCGGGCGGCGCGGUACCAGCGGCUCGACCCCACCGCCAUCCACGGCGUCACCAAGUUCUCCGACCUUAGCCCCGCCGAGUUCCGCCGCGCUUACCUCGGCCUCCGCCGCCCCGAGGCCCACAAGUCCACCCACGAGGCCCCCAUCCUCCCCACCGACGAUCUCCCCACUGAUUUCGACUGGAG